rnacentral:rRNA from 1 species
GUGAACGCUGGCGGUAGGCCUAACACAUGCAAGUCGAACGGCAGCACAGUAAGAGCUUGCUCUUACGGGUGGCGAGUGGCGGACGGGUGAGGAAUACAUCGGAAUCUACUUUUUCGUGGGGGAUAACGUAGGGAAACUUACGCUAAUACCGCAUACGACCUACGGGUGAAAGCAGGGGAUCUUCGGACCUUGCGCGAUUGAAUGGGCCGAUGUCGGAUUAGCUAGUUGGCGGGGUAAAGGCCCACCAAGGCGACGAUCCGUAGCUGGUCUGAGAGGAUGAUCAGCCACACUGGAACUGAGACACGGUCCAGACUCCUACGGGAGGCAGCAGUGGGGAAUAUUGGACAAUGGGCGCAAGCCUGAUCCAGCCAUACCGCGUGGGUGAAGAAGGCCUUCGGGUUGUAAAACCCUUUUGUUGGGAAAGAAAAGCAGCAGGUUAAUACCCCGCUGUUCUGACGGUACCCAAAGAAUAAGCACCGGCUAACUUCGUG